UACAGAGGGUGCGAGCGUUGUUCGGAAUUAUUGGGCGUAAAGGGCGCGUAGGCGGUGCGGUAAGUCACCUGUGAAAUCUCCUGGCUCAACUGGGAGCUUGCAGGCGAAACUGCCGUGCUGGAGUGUGGGAGAGGUGAGUGGAAUUCCCGGUGUAGCGGUGAAAUGCGUAGAUAUCAGGAGGAACACCGGCGGCGAAAGCGCGAUACUGGGCCAUAACUGACGCUGAGGAACGAAAGCCAGGGGAGCGAAAGGG
rnacentral:rRNA from 1 species